rnacentral:lncRNA from 1 species
AAGCCAGAGAAAGCCCCCUCCCCCUGCACCGUCCCGCCUCCCCUGCCUCCCCUCACCCCCUGCGUGCUCACAGGCCCGGAACAAAAACACACCACAAAUAGAAAUCAAAGUCUGAGAAAGAAUCAAGGAGCCGUGACCCAGCCGUGGGAAAAGCUGUGUGGCCUCGGCCAAGUCGCUUAACUUCUCUGGGUUUCUUCGCUUACCGGGAAAAUGGGGGUAAUGGUGCCAACCUUGAGGAGGUGAUGUGAGCAGGCCUGGGACAGGACCUAGGGAUGGACUGAUCCGCGCUGAAGCCACAUCUCUGGUGAUAUGAGGGGUGGAGGAGCCGCUCUGAAAGCACUGCUGUCAAUUCUCCACCACGGCUGGUCCAUUUCACUCACGAGUCAAAAGGAACUUGAAGUCACUUCCUCCAAGACACACAUGACAACGGUUAAAAAUAAAGUGAGAA